ACUUAUGGAUUUCUUAGGAGAUGAAAAUGAUUUUCUACCCAUCGUGGUAGCGUGUUUUAAAAGAAAAGGUUUCCGUAUGGAAAACGGUUUUAAAAAGAUUUUUCUUGAUUUUCAUGACUAUUAGUGUUUUAAAAUGAGUUUCUGGGUAGGAAACAUUUUAAACUAAUAGAUGUGAAUUUAUGAUUAUCUGUGAUGGAAUGAAUGGUAAAUGUGAUGUGCUAAAUGUAUGUGUAUGUUCAUACUGUUGUUCUUGUAUCUUGUACUUGUGCGACGCCGUGCAAAUGCAGGGGAGACUCUAUCCGUGUGAACAGUAAAUUUUCUGUAUUUGUGGCGGAUUUGACAUACUCUAGGGUCAAGGUUUUCAAAAAAAAAAAAAAAGUUUGGGCACUUCCGCAUUAGGCUUUAAAUCCAAAAAGAGACCCCGGGGCGUGACAGAUCGACUUGAAUAGACUGACUGUAUCUUUAUAGAUUGCUUUGAAUAAAUCACGUGGGCCACAUCCAAAAUUACAACCUAUUUGGGUUGUAAU
rnacentral:lncRNA from 1 species